UACGUAGGGAGCAAGCGUUAUCCGGAAUUAUUGGGCGUAAAGAGUACGUAGGUGGCAACCUAAGCGCAGGGUUUAAGGCAAUGGCUCAACCAUUGUUCGCCCUGCGAACUGGGAUGCUUGAGUGCAGGAGAGGAAAGCGGAAUUCCUAGUGUAGCGGUGAAAUGCGUAGAUAUUAGGAGGAACACCAGUGGCGAAGGCGGCUUUCUGGACUGUAACUGACACUGAGGCUCGAAAGCGUGGGGAGCAAACAGG
rnacentral:rRNA from 1 species